rnacentral:rRNA from 1 species
CCUACGGGAGGCAGCAGUCGAGAAUCAUUCACAAUGGGGGAAACCCUGAUGGUGCGACGCCGCGUGAAGGAAGAAGGCUUUCGGGUUGUAAACUUCUUUUGUCAGGGACGAAGCAAGUGACGGUACCUGACGAAUAAGCCACGGCUAACUACGUGCCAGCAGCCGCGGUAAUACGUAGGUGGCAAGCGUUAUCCGGAUUUACUGGGUGUAAAGGGCGUGUAGGCGGGGAAGCAAGUCAGAUGUGAAAACCACGGGCUCAACCUGUGGCCUGCAUUUGAAACUGUUUUUCUUGAGUGCUGGAGAGGCAAUCGGAAUUCCGUGUGUAGCGGUGAAAUGCGUAGAUAUACGGAGGAACACCAGUGGCGAAGGCGGAUUGCUGGACAGUAACUGACGCUGAGGCGCGAAAGCGUGGGGAGCAAACAGGAUUAGAUACCCCUGUAGUC